CUGCUCUGCAAACAGCAGGGGAAAGCACUGGGAAACUGGCCUAGGUUGUAGCUUCUUGCUAAACCGACAUGAGGUGGCAGUAUUUCAAAAUUCUGCAAUUUUGAAUUUCAAAAUCCCUGCUGCAAGAGGACAGGCCUCCUCUGCAGGAGGCCACCUCAUUUCCCACCAGUGAAGGACCAACAGUACAAUGGCAGGCACAUGCUGAUGAUGGAAGCAAAGAUUUUUCUUCAAAAUUAUUUUGGGAGUGAGCUGUUACUUGGAAGCAGGGAGACAAGCUCGUGUUAGAAUAGCUGCUCCAAGAACAGUAACUCUGCCUGGAUGAAUUUAUAAUAGCCACUUUCACUGGUGCCAGGAAGACACUGAACUUCCAGUGAGUCAUUUUUCCACAGCCGUGAAUAGGCUAGGAUGAACUUCAGUGAACUUCUCUCACUUCAGAAUAAAGGGAGUUUGACACUCUGGUUCUACUGCAGCAGGACCAUGGCAAGAAGAGCUGUUUGCACGAUGGGGAAUUGCAAGGCCAGGAACACUGUGUUCAUGACCGUGUUACUGGAAGUGGCAGACAGACCACUUGGGCAGCUCACUACCUCCGUGUGAGCAGUUGUCAUGGAAGGAGAGGAGUGUGUGUGGCACUCAAAUGUACCGGCAGCUUUCAUCAGUGGAGCAGAAUGUUUGGCCCCCGAGGUUAUCACCUGCUGAUGUCUUUCUGGGAUUGCCCAGCUGUGAACUAUGGUAAACAUGAUAAAAUGAUGACAUAACAUCUGGGGCUAGGUCUUAUGGAAAACCAGCAUUUUUCCUCAUUCCUGUAGGAGACAGCAAAAGUGCAUGGUCCUUCUUCAUAUGAGCUACUGCAGUCUGAGAGCAUCAUCUUGAGCAGUCUCUGUCCUCACGGGGCAAUUGCCUUUCCUGGAAUGCUGCCGCUUACAUCCCACAGCACCAGCAUACACAUGCUGUAAAGAAACAAGGUAUGAAAAUAUUUUGAAAGCUGGCCAGGAACGAUGGCCAAGAGCUGUGGGGAGGAGAAAGCUUUGAACACUGCUGUAACUGAAGCAAGGUUUCCACCUUCUCAGAGGAAGGGGGUCUUGGAGCUGCCUGGUGAAGGGAACAGGCACUCAGUGGUGCACAGCAGCACUCGGCAAGCAGCCCUGCCCUGUUCCUCGCACCCAGUGGUUUCCAGAGCUGCCUUAUUAUCUCAUUUCAAGAGUAAAAUCUGAUUAGAUUUAAAAAACAAUCAGUAAAAUUGAAAACAUUCAGAUUUUCCAUGUGCAGGAGAGCAAACCCUUGGUUUCAAGUGUUACUAUAUGGAGAAUACAACUGCAGCUGGCUGGGAUUUCCCCUCCCACCAGGACAGGAGCAGGCUCUGGACCUUCCCUGGAGCUUGCCUGGGCACUGCUGCAGGAAGCCUGCAUUCAUGGACACAUUUUGUCCGCAGUGACCAUGAGGUUGGCAGUGACCCAUCACAACUCCUCAGCUGAAGGCUUUUGGCCAUGCUCUUGUGUUACUGAAGUCAGCAAGAACAAUGCAACCGAUUCAAGCAGGAACAGAAUUUGGCCUGACAGAAGCAAACAGAAAGGCUGAGACAAUGAGCCCUCUCAAUUGCUCAGAAAUAAUUUUCCAGCUGAUGAGCAUAAAACUGUAUUUACAGAAAAGGCCAAGCUGAUUUUCCAUAACUCUUUUGCAAGGCAGCCCUCUUUUCUCUGCUUGUCUUAUAAAAGCAGAGAAGCCAGAAUUCACAGCACUCUUAAUAUUAAAUAAAUCAACAGAUUGGAGGCAUCUUUCCAAAUAGACAACUGUGUUUAUUAGUACAAAAUACUAGUAAAAGCACUCUGUAAUGAAGAUUUCCUCAUUUCUUUGUUUUAUG